rnacentral:rRNA from 1 species
UACGAAGGGGGGCUAGCGUUGCUCGGAAUCACUGGGCGUAAAGCGCGCGUAGGCGGCUUUGCAAGCCGGAUGUGAAAUCCCCGGGCUUAACCUGGGAACUGCAUUCGGGACUGCAUUGCUAGAGUAUGGGAGAGGGAAGUGGAAUUUCAGGUGUAGCGGUGAAAUGCGUAGAUAUCUGAAGGAACAUCAGUGGCGAAAGCGACUUCCUGGACCAAUACUGACGCUCAUGUGCGAAAGCGUGGGGAGCAAACAGG